CCUAUGAGAAGCCCCUUUCAAUUCCUUGUUGAGACCUCUACAGUUCCUUUGGAGUGCUUUCCCCGCUCCUGCAGCAAGACUUUCUUGCAAAAAUGCCUGUUUGGGAUUCCUCAGAGUACAGACAAAAAGGAAGGCUUGAUCAGCAUGUGGUGGAUCUGAAGAUUCAAAGAGGUGCCACAGCUCAAAAGUAGACAUUUUGGCAAAUGUGAAGAAGUGAGAUUCAAUGAAGAUGAUAAGAAAUGAAAGGUGUUACCAAAAGCAUCCUGUGGUGACUGAAGAAGGGCCUAGCAGCAAAGGGACUCCAUCGCCCGAGGAGCAGCUUCCGCAGGAGCUCUGGCAGGUUCCUUGGAAAACGUGGCAGUGCCGGCCCAUGGUGCCCUGUUCAGAAAUACAAGACUCAGAUUUAGUAAAGCCAGUUGUGUAAUGUGAAA
rnacentral:lncRNA from 10 species